AUUGAACGCUGGCGGCAGGCCUAACACAUGCAAGUCGAGCGGAUGAAGGGAGCUUGCUCCUGGAUUCAGCGGCGGACGGGUGAGUAAUGCCUAUGAAUCUGCCUGGUAGUGGGGGAUAACGUCCGGAAACGGGCGCUAAUACCGCAUACGUCCUGAGGGAGAAAGUGGGGGAUCUUCGGACCUCACGCUAUCAGAUGAGCCUAGGUCGGAUUAGCUAGUUGGUGGGGUAAAGGCCUACCAAGGCGACGAUCCGUAACUGGUCUGAGAGGAUGAUCAGUCACACGGGAACUGAGACACGGUCCAGACUACUACGGGAGGCAGCAGUGGGGAAUAUUGGACAAUGGGCGAAAGCCUGAUCCAGCCAUGCCGCGUGUGUGAAGAAGGUCUUCGGAUUGUAAAGAACUUUAAGUGGGGAGGAAGGGCAGUAAGUUAAUACCUUGCUGUUUUGACGGUACCAACAGAAUAAGCACCGGCUAACUUCGUG
rnacentral:rRNA from 1 species